rnacentral:rRNA from 1 species
UACGUAGGGGGCGAGCGUUGUCCGGAUUCAUUGGGCGUAAAGAGCUCGUAGGCGGUUCGGUUAGUCAGAUGUGAAAACUCCGGGCUCAACUCGGAGAGGCCAUCUGAUACUGCCGUGACUGGAGUUCGGUAGAGGAGUGUGGAAUUCCCGGUGUAGCGGUGAAAUGCGCAGAUAUCGGGAGGAACACCAGCGGCGAAGGCGGCACUCUGGGCCGAUACUGACGCUGAGGAGCGAAAGCGUGGGGAGCGAA